rnacentral:rRNA from 1 species
AUUGCCCCAGUAACGGCGAGUGAAGCGGCAACAGCUCAGAUUUGGAAUCUGGCCCCCAGGGCCCGAGUUGUAAUCUGGAGAGGAUGCUUCUGGCGCGGCGCCUUCCGAGUUCCCUGGAACGGGACGCCGGAGAGGGUGAGAGCCCCGUACGGUUGGACGCCUAGCCUUUGUGAAGCUCCUUCGACGAGUCGAGUAGUUUGGGAAUGCUGCUCAAAAUGGGAGGUAAAUUUCUUCUAAAGCUAAAUACCGGCCAGAGACCGAUAGCGCACAAGUAGAGUGAUCGAAAGAUGAAAAGCACUUUGAAAAGAGGGUCAAACAGUACGUGAAAUUGUUGAAAGGGAAGCGCCCGUGGCCAGACUUGUGCCCCGCGGACCACCCGGCGCCCUCAGCGCCGGUGCACUCCGCGGGGCGCAGGCCAGCAUCGGUUUUCCUAGGGGGAUAAAGGCGGCGGGAACGUGGCUCCCUCGGGAGUGUUAUAGCCCGCCGCGCCAUGCCCCUGGGGGGACCGAGGACCGCGCUUCGGCAAGGAUGCUGGCGUAAUGGCCACCGGCGACCCGUCUUGAAACACGGACCAAGGAGUCAAGCAUUGGGGCGAGUGUCUGGGUGCCAAACCCGCACGCGAAAUGAAAGUGAACGCAGGUGAGAGCUUCGGCGCAUCAUCGACCGAUCCUGAUGUUCUCGGAUGGAUUUGAGUAAGAGCCUUACCGCUUGGACCCGAAAGAUGGUGAACUAUGCCUGUAUAGGGUGAAGCCAGAGGAAACUCUGGUGGAGGCUCGCAGCGGUUCUGACGUGCAAAUCGAUCGUCAAAUAUGGGCAUGGGGGCGAAAGACUAAUCGAACCAUCUAGUAGCUGGUUACCGCCGAAGU